CACUCCAGGAUACGCCACGUCAGAUGCCAGCACAUAAACUCGACUCCCGACGGCACGACACGUGUCCAGAUAACCAAUCCCCUGCGUUUCGUUAAUAGGUGUGCGCAAUUCGUUUGGGCCGGGCUUGGUGUAAACUUCUUACAGACCAGCGCGUUUAUCAUCUUAGCCUGCAUGAAACGCUGCGUUUUCCUUGAGGGUUAGACCCAUGUUCUUCUUCGUCUCUCUAGAGCUCAUGGCGAUUAGAGUUCCACAAUCGUUCUUUCGUCUUCUUCCUCACUGUACGAAACGAUACCAGUUACCUAAUAAUACUCUUAAAACCCUCCAUUAAUACAUCACCCACGAUCCUUCUCUCUAAGCAAUACAGUAAACUUAUAUCCAGAAUAUAGCUAACGCAGCGAUCUUCCUUUCCGAUCUGAGGAUCAUAUGAUGCUCAUCCACCGUUCAAGUCCGUUUGCUCUGCUUCUGGGAGGUCAGGAACGUCCGACGCGUCAGCGAACUCAUAGGAUUCGAUAUGCUGCUGCUUGAUUCUCAGUCGACCAUGAUGCCGGCGACGGUGAAUAUGAACCGGCUUGCAACUCACAGCCCUAAUCUGAAUACGGUUUCACUAUAUUCCCUAGCCGGUUUGAUGUGACCCGAUGUAAUCGGAAUUACCGACUGUCGGACUCCUCUAUGAUGUUUUGUUUCGGAAAGUCUACCUCUUUUGAUGAGAUAACCGAACCGGCUAUUCCGAUAGGUGUGGAAUCUUUUCGGUUCCGUAAUCACAGCGAGCUGCUUGGUCUUGCCAGCACAAACUCUCGGCUUCCAGACAUCGUCGGUGAGAUAGCUGCCGUGAAGAGCACUAUAACCGACCCUCUGCAGAACAAUAACCGUCUGACGGCAACCAUUAAAAUGGAUAAUGAUGUUUCAGUGACUAUGAGUCUGUUCGACUUACAGGCUGUCAAGCUCCACAAACAACUUGAAUAAUGGGUGGUGAUCCAAGGGUUCUGGUUCCAACCAGUAUCAACCCAAAAUUGUGGGAGGUCGUCUGUUUCUGAAUGCUACUUCAGGCACACACAUAUAUUUUGACAAGGAAACUACCGCAGGGGAGAAUUAUUCUACAGGCUGGUUGCCCAAUACACCGGGUUUCCAUCAGCAGCUCAAUUGCCAAAGAGCUACGUCAAGGAGAUUGGUUUCAUCUGCACCGUGAAGGUCACUGGUAUCAAGCUUAGAUAAUGGAUGGUGCUAUGUUUCUUACUCCAACCGCAUCAAGAAGCUCCAACACACUGUCUGAGCUUUCACCUGUCUGCAUUGUACUAAUACUAAUGCUGUUGGUGUCCUAAGAUACCGGGUGGAGAUGUCCAUUGAAGAUGAAACUGCUGAAGGCCUCUUUGUUUGUUUUGGCAGGGUUAUGACAAAACUGAAUAAUACGAGAGCCUACGAAGCUGACCAUGUUUUGGCUGGUGAUGGUUUGAACCCGGAGGACACUCAGGCACCUCCAUUUGUUGCAGGCAUGGAGUGUAGGACCUAGACGUUCCAGGUCAAGGUCGGUGCAUACAACUUCACUGCAAACCAUCAAACCUUUAUGAUCUCCCGCAUCCUUAGUGAAGGUGACCGUAUGCCGCUCCGUAAAUUUAUUGGCAAUGGAGGCGAUGAUGACAAUGGAGACAACAACAGUGGUGCCAUCUCGGUUCGUUCUAAGGUGGAAACUGGUGGUAGCAGUCAGGUGCAAGGAUCCUCGGAAGUUAAGAAAAAUGGAUCCUUUUUUCCCCCGUUUUGUUGACAACAUGGUCUUUGAAUCUUGGUUAUUUUAUGUUUGUUUACAGACAAGCUUUAUAAAAUCUAUCACGUUCUCCAUUUGUUUUGUAUUUAAGAUCUUUAUUCAUAUUUGGAUCGCUCAAAGACUGCUUGAAAUGGAAUAUGAUUCGAAAUGUCCGUUUCA